UAUGUUUUGCUUAUUUCAUAUACUAUUGCUAAGUUUAUACUACUGUUACAUCCAUCUAGCACUGAAUCUUGUAUAAUGUGUCAUGUGUGCUAUGCCACUAACUGGUUUUAUGUUUGGAAGAUUGCAUUAUUGUACUUCCUGUGCUUCCUCUAGAACAUUAUAUUUACCAUGCUUCCAGGAAAUUAAAAUGGUCGACUUUUCGAAGCCUGUGGGAUGGGUUCACAUAUCAUUAUCUGGCACUGAUACCCGGUAUGCAUUUUGUACCUUAACCAUAUAUUAGUCCUUCGACGCCUUUUCCUUUCAUCUGGCAUUGAAAAUUUGGAAGGUAGCUCACAUUACGCUAUACUAUGCAUUUAUGUUUUGGAAUUUCCAAAAUAGUUAUAGUCCAGUUUGACAUUCCAUGUUUGUAUACUAAAUUUUUCAGCGCACUUCCUGUGUGCUCCACGGCCUGCAUAAUUUCAUGGUUGACCAUGUUACUAAAGAUGUAAUUGCUAGCACGUGAAUCUUCCUUGGACUUUGAGAAACUAAUAUAUACUCUAUCAAAGUUUCAGAGAAUAUCAUAUUCGAGCAACCCAGCAUGAAUAGGCAGCACUUGCACAAGGGCUUGACAAGGCCAAGCUGAGUGUUAAACAAGACCAG